rnacentral:rRNA from 1 species
GACGAACGCUGGCGGCGUGCUUAACACAUGCAAGUCGAACGGAAAGGCCCUGCUUUUGUGGGGUGCUCGAGUGGCGAACGGGUGAGUAACACGUGAGUAACCUGCCCUUGACUUUGGGAUAACUUCAGGAAACUGGGGCUAAUACCAGAUAGGAGCUCCUGCUGCAUGGUGGGGGUUGGAAAGUUUCGGCGGUUGGGGAUGGACUCGCGGCUUAUCAGCUUGUUGGUGGGGUAGUGGCUUACCAAGGCUUUGACGGGUAGCCGGCCUGAGAGGGUGACCGGCCACAUGGGGACUGAGAUACGGCCCAGACCCCUACGGGAGGGAGCAGGGGGGAAUAUUGCACAAGGGGGGGAAGCCUGAUGCAGCAACGCCGCGGGCGGGAGGACGGCCUUCGGGUGGUAAACCGCUUUCGCCUGUGACGAAGCGGGAGUGACGGUAAUGGGUAAAGAAGCACCGGCUAACUACGU